UACGUAGGGGGCAAGCGUUGUCCGGAUUUAUUGGGCGUAAAGAGCGUGUAGGCGGUUAGGUAGGUCCGUCGUGAAAACUCGAGGCUCAACCUCGAGACGCCGCUGGAAACCAUCUGACUAGAGUCCGGAAGAGGAGAGUGGAAUUCCUGGUGUAGCGGUGAAAUGCGCAGAUAUCAGGAAGAACACCCGUGGCUAAGGCGGCUCUCUAGUACGUGACUGACGCUGAGACGCGAAAGCGUGGGGAGCGAACAGG
rnacentral:rRNA from 1 species